GGGGAAUAUUGCGCAAUGGGGGGAACCCUGACGCAGCCAUGCCGCGUGAAUGAAGAAGGCCUUCGGGUUGUAAAGUUCUUUCGGUAUUGAGGAAGGUUGAUGUGUUAGUAGCACAUCAAAUUGACGUUAAAUACAGAAGAAGCACCGGCUAACUCCGUGCCAGCAGCCGCGGUAAUACGGAGGGUGCGAGCGUUAAUCGGAAUAACUGGGCGUAAAGGGCACGCAGGCGGUUAUUUAAGUGAGGUGUGAAAGCCCCGGGCUUAACCUGGGGAUUGCAUUUCAGACUGGGUAACUAGAGUACUUUAGGGAGGGGUAGAAUUCCACGUGUAGCGGUGAAAUGCGUAGAGAUGUGGAGGAAUACCGAAGGCGAAGGCAGCCCCUUGGGAAUGUACUGACGCUCAUGUGCGAAAGCGUGGGGAGCAAACAGGAUUAGAUACCCUGGUAGUCCACGCUGUAAACGCUGUCGAUUUGGGGGUUGGGGUUUAACUCUGGCGCCCGUAGCUAACGUGAUAAAUCGACCGCCUGGGGAGUACGGCCGCAAGGUUA
rnacentral:rRNA from 1 species